GACGAACGCUGGCGGCGUGCCUAAUACAUGCAAGUCGAACGAGUGGCGGACGGGUGAGUAAUGCGUGGGAAUAUGGCUUAUGGAGGGGGAUAACGACGGGAAACUGUCGCUAAUACCGCGUACCAUAGGAUGAGCCCAAGUGGGAUUAGGUCGUUGGUGGGGGAAUGGCCUACCAAGACGAAGAUCUAUAGCUGGUCUGAGAGGAUUACCAGCCACACCGGGACUGAGACCCGGCCCGGACUCCUACGUGAGGCAGCAGUGGGGAAGAUUGCGCAUUGGGUGCAACCUGACGCAGCCAUGCCGCGUGAAUGAAGAAGGCCUUCGGGUUGUAAAGUUCUUUCGGUGACGAGGCGUUAAUCACAGAAGAAGCACCGGCUAACUCCGUGCCAGCAGCCGCGGUAAUAC
rnacentral:rRNA from 1 species